rnacentral:rRNA from 1 species
AUAUCAGUCAUGCAUAGCAUAUCAAUAAGCAGGAGGAAAAGAAACUAACAAGGAUUCCCCUAGUAACUGCGAGUGAAGCGGGAAGAGCUCAAAUUUGAAAUCUUAAAAGGUUUUCCUUUUACGAAUUGUAGUUUAAAGAAGUGUUUUCUGUUGAAAUUUUAGUAAAAGUUCUUUGGAAUAGGACAUCAUAGAGGGUGAGAAUCCCGUAUUUGACUAGAAUUUUUCAACUUUGUGAUACACUUUCAAAGAGUCGGAUUGUUAGGGAAUGCAGUCCAAAAUGGGUGGUAAAUUUCAUCUAAAGCUAAAUAUUGGCGAGAGACCGAUAGCGAACAAGUACCGUGAGGGAAAGAUGAAAAGAACUUUGAAAAGAGAGUUAAAUAGUACGUGAAAUUGUCAAAAGGGAAGCGUUUGGCACCAGUGUUGUUUUUCUAAAAAUCAAUUUAAAAUUUGCUUAUGCUAAGUUUUUUAGACUUAAUCGGCUAAUAAUUUAGUUUUUUGUAAUUUUUGAAUGCACUUUUUAGUUAACAAGUCAACAUCAAUUUCUUUUGUCGUAAAAGAAUAAGAGGAAGGUGGCUUGGGAUUUAGUUUCAAGUGUUUAUAGCCUUUUAUUUAUGCAAUAGGAGGGAUUGAGGUCUGCAGCAUAGAUCCUUCGGGGCUAGAUGCAUUUUCGCUAAGAGUCAGUAUUAUAUAAACAACUUGUUGAUUAUGUAGUAUGUUGAUUUUUACUCGGGAGUGUUAUUUUACCUACGCUUAGGAUGUUGACGCAUGAGAUAUACGC